GUAAGUCUGAUGCGUACCAAGUAUAUGAUGGAAUGCCUUAAUGACGCCACUGCCUAUGGUGCUGGUUCCGCCUCUUGCUGCUCGAACCAGGUUUCGGUUUCGGUUUUGACUAUAUCAUAAGGAUGUGAUGCUGGGAAGCACCAACAAGCUUUCAACCUCACUGGAGGAUUCGCUCUGUCGAAGUGCUUUGAUGACGAUAGUCCUAUAAUGGCAUGGGUAUUCCACGACCCAAACUAAAUGAUGUUGCAAAGGGACCUGGAGACAAAAGAAGCCUGGUAAACGCAUGUCAAAAUGAUAUGUGCCAUGUUCUAAAAGCCAUGCACAUAACGUUCCCAUUUGCCAACGGCUGUUAUUUUUCUUUUGCAUGAUUAGAUAGUGCCAUAGUCGGUUAGUGGUGAUGGUUUUCUUAGUUGCAAGUUAGCCAUUUUUGUUAAUUUCGUAUUGCUUCUGUAAGGCUAUAUAUGAGCCAUAUGUAUUUAGAUUAAG
rnacentral:lncRNA from 1 species